AAAUAAUGAACUAGUUUUGAAUAAAUUUUAUAUGUUAAUCAAUUAUGAAGUUUAAAAAUGUUGGCAGUAUAAUAUUUAAUUCUGAGAAACUUGCUUUAUUAAAGUGAUAUUACACAGUUUAUCUUAUCUUAAUUAAUUUGUUUGGUUUAUGUAUUGCUGUUUAAUUUAUUAUUUAUUAUAAUAAUAAAUUUAAAGAAUAAGUUUUAUUAAAAAAUUCAAGUCAAAAUGUAAUUAUGUUAAGGUUAAAGUGAGUUGCUUUUUUUUAGAAAAUAAAGAAUGAGAAGUAAAUUGAAAUAUUUAUUGAUAAUUAGGAUUAGGUUGUAAGGAAAAAGUAAUUAGUUUUUCUGAUAAUAUUUGUAGAUAUGU
rnacentral:rRNA from 1 species